UACGGAGGAUGCAAGCGUUAUCCGGAUUUAUUGGGUUUAAAGGGUGCGUAGGCGGGUUAUCAAGUCAGCGGUGAAAUUUUUCGGCUUAACCGUAAAAUUGCCGUUGAAACUGGUGAUCUUGAGUGCGAGCGAGGUAGGCGGAAUGUGCCGUGUAGCGGUGAAAUGCGUAGAGAUAUGGAGGAACACCAGUGGCGAAGGCGGCUUCCUGGUCUGUAACUGACACUGAGGCGCGAAAGCGUGGGGAGCAAACAGGAUUAGAUACCCUGGUAGUCCCU
rnacentral:rRNA from 1 species